AGGAGGGAGGGGAUGGGCCAAGUUC
rnacentral:miRNA from 1 species